CUCCGUUGUCGCCGGUGGAAGAAAACGUCGACGUCGUGACUGCUCUGUUCUGAGUUAACAGAAAAAUGGGACUGUUAUCAUUGGCAAAAUCAAGAAGAAGGAGAAGGAGAUGCGUACUCUCAUGGUGUAUGUCACAUUCACAAUCUUGCAACUCUCCUCUGAUCUAAAUGUACAUUUCUCUAACUUAGGUGCUGUGUUUGUAGUGGACUCGAUAACUCAGGGAAGACUACUAUUAUUCUGAAAAUAAACGGACAAGACACAAAAGCGUGAUCAGUCCUAUUCUUGGGUUCAAUAUCAAAACCAUAAUUUACCAAAAGCCUGCUCCCUUUUUUUUUUCAAACUGCUUGGAGUUUCAUGUUCUUGGUUGAGGAAUAGAUCAUCAAACAUGUUAUGUGCAAUGUGUGUGUGUGUGUAGGUAUACAUUGAAUAUAUGGGAUGUGGGUGGGCAAAAAGACUAUUAGAUCUUACUGGAGGAACUACUUUGAGCAGACUGAUGGGUUGGUUUGGGUCUCAGGAGGCUUGAUGAUUGCAAGAUUGAGCUUGACAAUCUCUUGAAGGAAGAGGUGUGAAACUUUGCAAUGUGAUGCUUGGUUAAUGUUUGUGAUGAAGAUGAUGAUGAUGAUGAUCCAUGUAACAAUGGUGGAAUGAGUUUUGGAUACUGAUCUUGGUGGUUUUAAUGGCAAAGGCUUGCUGGGUCAUCUUUGUUGAUACUAGCAAAAAAAACAAGCAGGAUAUUCAAGGUGCUCUUACACCGGAAGAGAUUGGCAAAGUGUUAAACUUAGAAUCCAUGGAUAAAGCAGGCACUGGAAGAUCGUGGGUUGCAGCGCAUACACAGGUGAAGGUUUGUUAGAAGGAUUCGAUUGGUUGCUUCAAGACAUUGCCUCACAUGCUCAACUAGUCUCUAUGUUCCUCAACUACCUAAGAUUCACCUUCGCAGACACAU